rnacentral:rRNA from 1 species
GACGAACGCUGGCGGCGUGCCUAAUACAUGCAAGUCGAACGCACUGGGGACGGGUGCGUAACACGUGGGCAACCUCCCAUCAGAGGGGAUAACACUUGGAAACAGGUGCUAAACCGAUACUGAUGGAUGGUCCCGCGGUGCAUUAGCUAGUUGGUGGGGUAACGGCCCACCAAGGCCACGAUGCAUAGCCGACCGGAGGGGGUGGUAGGCGGCGCUGGGACUGAGACACGGCACAGAAGACACCGGGAGGCAGGAGUGGGGAGAAGUAGGAAAUGGAGGAAAGUCAGACCGAGCAACGCCGCGUGCGUAAAGAGGGUUUUAGGAUCGUAAAGCUCUAUAAUUAGAGAAGCGGUAACUAACCACAAAGCAACGGCUAACUACGUGCCAGCAGCCGCGAUGAUAC